CACGUAGGGGGCAAGCGUUGUCCGGAUUUAUUGGGCGUAAAGAGCUCGUAGGCGGUUCGGUAAGUCGGGUGUGAAACCUCCAGGCUCAACCUGGAGACGCCACCUGAUACUGCUGUGACUCGAGUCCGGUAGGGGAGCGUGGAAUUCCUGGUGUAGCGGUGAAAUGCGCAGAUAUCAGGAGGAACACCGGUGGCGAAGGCGGUUCUCUGGGCAUGAUCUGACGCUGAGGAGCGAAAGUGUGGGGAGCGAACAGG
rnacentral:rRNA from 1 species